AGCUUGUUAGAGCUGAGCUGCCCUACUACAGCAGCUGCCGGCCCCUAGGACAGAGCAGGGACCUCAACUACACUGAUCACCAGCCCCAUCGGAUCCAGACCCAGCCACCAGCUCUGGCUCAUCUUGCCCCAGUGCCAUGACCUUCUCGGAGAUCCUGGACCGUGUGGGAAGCAUGGGCCGUUUCCAGUUCCUGCAUGUAGCCAUACUGGGCCUCCCGAUCCUCAACAUGGCCAACCACAACCUGCUGCAGAUCUUCACAGCCGCCACCCCUGUCCACCACUGUCGCCCGCCCCACAAUGCCUCCACAGGGCCUUGGGUGCUCCCCAUGGGCCCAAAUGGGAAGCCUGAGAGGUGCCUCCGUUUUGUACAUCCGCCCAAUGCCAGCCUGCCCAAUGACACCCAGAGGGCCACGGAGCCAUGCCUGGAUGGCUGGGUCUACAACAGCACCAAGGACUCCAUUGUGACAGAGGUAUGCCUGGGCAAACCCUCUCCCUCCACUUACCCACGUACCCCCAUACCCU
rnacentral:sRNA from 1 species